AUUGAACGCUGGCGGCAGGCCUAACACAUGCAAGUCGAACGAGUGGCGGACGGGUGAGUAAUGUCUGGGAAACUGCCGGAUGGAGGGGGAUAACUACUGGAAACGGUAGCUAAUACCGCAUCCCAUCGGAUGUGCCCAGAUGGGAUUAGCUUGUAGGUGAGGUAACGGCUCACCUAGGAGACGAUCCCUAGCUGGUCUGAGAGGAUGACCAGCCAAACUGUAACGGAGACACGUUCCAGACUCCUACGUGAGGCAGCAGUGGGGAAUAUUUGACGAUGGGCGAAAGCCUGAUCCAGCCAUGCCGCGUGGGUGAAGAUGGUCUUCGGAUUGGAAAGCACUUUAAGUUGGGAGGCGUUACCAACAGAAUAAGGACCGGCUAACUUCGUGCCAGCAGCCGCGGUAAUUC
rnacentral:rRNA from 1 species